GACGAACGCUGGCGGCGUGCCUAAUACAUGCAAGUAGAACGCUGAAGGAGGAGCUUGCUCUUCUGGAUGAGUUGCGAACGGGUGAGUAACGCGUAGGUAACCUGCCUGGUAGCGGGGGAUAACUAUUGGAAACGAUAGCUAAUACCGCAUAAUAGUAGAUGUUGCAUGAUAUUCACUUAAAAGGUGCAAUUGCCCCACUACCAGAUGGACCUGCGUUGUAUUCGCUAGUUGGUGGGGUAACGGCUCACCAAGGCGACGAUACAUCGCCGACCUGAGAGGGUGGUCGGCCACACUGGGACUGAGACACGGCCCAGAAUCCUACGGGAGGCAGCAGUAGGGAAACAUCGGCAAUGGACGAAAGUCUGACCGAGCAACGCCGCGUGAGUGAAGGAGGUUUUCGGAUCGUAAAGCUCUGUUGUAAGAGAAGAACGAGUGGGAGAGUAGAAAGUUCACACUGUGACGGUAUCUUACCAGAAAGGGACGGCUAACUACGUG
rnacentral:rRNA from 1 species